rnacentral:rRNA from 1 species
GAUGAACGCUGGCGGCGUGCCUAAUACAUGCAAGUCGAGCGAACAGACGAGAAGCUUGCUCCCCUGCCGUUGGCUGCGGACGGGUGAGUGACACGUGGAUAACCUACCUAUGAGACUGGGAUAACUUCGGGAAACCGGAGCUAAUACCGCAUCAGAUAUUGCAUCGCAUGGUUCAAUAGUGAAAGACGGGUGUGCUGUCACCUAUAGCUUGAUCUGCGCCGCCUUAGCUAGUUGGGAAGGUAACGGCUUACCAAGGCAAGGCUGCGUAGCUGCCUUGGAAGGGUGAUCGGCCACCCGGGACCUGAGACUCGGUCCAGACGUUGGCGGGGGGCAGCAGUAGGGACUCUUACGUGAGGGGCGAAUGCCGGACGGAGCAACGCCGCGUGAGUGAGGAUGGUGCUCGGAGCGUAAAACUCAGUUAUUAGGGAAGAGCAAAUGUGGAAGUAGCUAUGCAGGACUUGACGGUACCUAAUCAGAAAGCCACGGCUAACUACGUG